AGCUGGAUAGCUCAGUUGGUUAGAGUAUGGUGCCAAUAACUCCAAGGUUGCAGGUUCAAUCCCCUGCUGCUGUAU